AAAGACUAGGGGCUCUAGAUUUUUUUAAAAUGUUUUUUCUUUGAUGUAUAUAAGCUUGAGCAUAACAGCAGCAGGAAGGCUUUGGCUCUGUAGAUCAAGAUCUGUCUGCUGUAGUUGAUGUGUGUAAUUUUACACUCUUUAAACAGCAGCGUUAAGGAUUGUAGCAGAAAGACGGGAAAUUUGCGAUUUGAAAUUACAGGACCUGUGUGAAUGAUGGGUGAAUGUGUGUGUUUUGGUGAAUGUGUAGGUGUGUUUGUCUGUCGACAUGCAAGAACGUUAAUCAAGAACACUGACUUGCAACAGAGCCACACAUGCUAACACACGUCAGAUUUGUUACCUUCAGUUCUAAACGGGUGGGAUUUGGCUUUGGGCAGAGACAUGCUGCCGUCAGUAUCAGCAAAAUAACACAGUUGUUUUAAGGAACCCAAGUCGUUUUCAGCCCUUUAGGUACAGCCUUGCCGGGGCAGAUGACUUCUGGUCUGCACAUGAACCUGAGCUCACAUUUUAAUGUCACCCAUUGGAGUGAGGCUAGGCCAUAAAAUGGAUGGCAAGUGAAUGUUAGUCUAUCUAGCAUUCAUCAAUAAAAUCUACAGACUUUUCACCUUUAAUAGAUAGCUAUGCUCAUACUUCAUACUCGUGUUUUUCUGUUGUUUCCAUAUCUUUAUUGACUCUGGGUUGGGGAUGCCAUUUGUUAUGAAUUAGCAAAACUGUUGGGUGCCUGCAGACAGCAACUAUGCAUGCUUUGCAGGAUUUUAGAGGAAUUGAUUGCCAUUUCUAGACGUGUGCUCUUCUCUCACAUGGACAAAAUGCUGUGGGUGUACAGACAGAUAUUUAAUCUCUCAAAUUACCAUUUUCUUUAUUUGUCCUAGACAGCAAAGCAUCCCCCCUUGGAGUGUAGGCCCGUGCAAACACAUCUUGUUUUCCUCUUAUCUUUUCACUUCCCACAUUUACAUCACAAUAAAUGUUAGUAUACAAGAGUGAUUUGGCUUUAGUUGAUUUGAUUCUGGAGUUGCAAGGUCAAUUGCAUUAGGUCUCCAGAUGAUUGGAAUUUGAGAAUAAAAGACAGUAAAGUACAAAUAUCUCAUGUUUUUUGUUGUUCUAAAAAUAAAAAAAGAAAAGCAAUGGGAUGUUCCAUUUGACAAAGGUUUUAGGUCAUUUUAAUUUUGAUUUGAUCUAAAAUUAUAAACCCAAUGCCUUGUAAACUCAUGCAGUUCUUUUAUUUAAUUAAAAUCUGCCCAUUUCACUUGACAACUAGUGUAAGGAGCCUACAUGAGAUUUUCAUAACAUCUAAUAUGUAAAACAUCCAAGACAAGCUUAUGUCUGCCGCUAAAUCUGAUUAUUCUCAAAUAAGUGAAUUCCUUCCAAAAAAGAGUCCAUUGGUCAGUAUUGUAUGGUUUUGACCACAGAUCUUGUUAUAUAGCAUUCUUUCGGUGUCUUUGACUGGACACCAGUAAAAGACUGUAAUGAAAGCAUGGCAGAGAAAACGUUUUUAAAAAUGAUGUUAUGUCCUCUUUCCUUUAGAAUUCACCUCAGGCAGUCUUCAGUCUUUCAUUCCAACACAGAGAUGGUGGGGUACAUGCACAACACACACAUACAUGUGUACACACAAACAGAAUAAGUAUCAGUGACCCCUAAAGGCCUGGAUACACAAAGCUGCAGCUAGGUGGGGUAAUUUAAAGAGAAUUCUUGAAAUGGAAAUGACCUGCAAGGGGCAAGAGCUCACAUGGUUUAGGAGCUGGCAUUUUAUUAAAGGGCUCUAUCAGAACUGAACUUGAACCUACCAUGGCAAUCCAGUCUUUGGAAUUGAUCGCUCAUCACCAUGUAUCGUAAAAAAUGACUUGAAUUGGCCUUUGUUGUAAAUAUUCGAUACGGUUUUUAAAAACACCUAAUACAAGUGUUGUGUAUCCACGCCAUAAAACCUGCUGAAGUAACAGGCAGAUAUGUUGUUGUAGUGUUCAGUUUUCUUUAAGAACACUUGGUAGAGUGGAGAUGGGAGGGUGGCGGGGUGUAGCUCCUUACAGUGCACCAGGGCUCCACACAUGUGACUCCACACCUUAUCGCAACAUGUCUGUAAUGUGUUAUUGCAAAUAGUGCAUGACUUGUUACUUUUACUGCUCUUCCAGCCACAUUUUCCCUUUUCGCUAACUACAGCUAAAAUGGCACCCGGGCCUCAGGACGCCAGGUUGCACAUGACGGGGGGAAGAGAAUUAGAGUCCCACAGUGGCAUGGACGCACUCCCCACAAAGCAUUUCCAGUAAGACGAGACGAGACGUGCACUCAAAACUGAGGUGCCCCGGCUGUGCAUUUGAACGGUUAAGAAGACAGCACAGCUGUAAAGAGUGUGCAGUGCUAUCCGAAAAGCAAGAGGUAGGGCUGUCGCCUGGUAGGUGAGUAACCCAGUGCGCCACUGUCCCACUCAAACCUACUCCUUCCUUCAGACCCCAACACAAUACCUCUCUCACCUUUAAGAUCUUGUAGAUCAUGUUGCCCUUUCUUCAGAGAAAGGUGGUUCACCUAAAACUCCACAGAAAGCAUUCAGAACCUGGAUGGGGUAUAAGAAUUGAGAUUCUCAACUUCACAUGUAAAAAUGCUUUCAGACGUCUAUAACUGUUAAGACUGGAGCUGGAGAGUUGUUUGGCCAGUUUCAAAACCCUUAUCACUAAACUGUCCACAUCAUUUCACAAAAUAAAAAGAAAAAGUAAGAGUUUCUCUGGACAUCAUAAUCUUCACUUCAAACCUUCAGGUUUUGCUUUUUGUUUUUCUUUUUUUUUUUCCUUUUCUUUUUGGGCAAUUGAACUUCCUUGUUUACUGAUCAUUGAAUGAAAGUGCUUCAUCUCUGGGUUUGGGUUGAGCAAUAUAUGUAGAAUGUUGCUUAUGAUUACUUUAGAUCAGGAAAUAAUCAUUCAGGGAACUUGCAUUAGUUGAAUUAAACAUUAUUGCUUUCAUCAGGCUUUGCUUACUGCUUUUGCUACUGUCCUAGAAAAGAAUGUUACAUCCUUGUUUUUUUUGUUUUUUUUCUUCCUUUUGGCCAUUAUCUUUGUAGGCCUACUCUGAUCUUGUAAAAACAAAUAAAUACUUUCCUGAAUUCAA